UACGAAGGGGGCGAGCGUUGUUCGGAAUUACUGGGCGUAAAGGGCGCGCAGGCGGCUCUGAAAGUCAGAUGUGAAAGCCCCGGGCUUAACCUGGGAACUGCAUUUGAUACUCUAGAGCUUGAGUACGGGAGAGGAGUGUGGAAUUCCCGGUGUAGCGGUGAAAUGCGCAGAUAUCGGGAAGAACACCCGUGGCGAAGGCGGCACUCUGGGACGGUACUGACGCUGAGACGCGAAAGCGUGGGGAGCGAACAGG
rnacentral:rRNA from 1 species